rnacentral:tRNA from 4 species
GGGAGCGUAGCUCAGUUGGUUAGAGCGCAUGCCUGUCACGCAUGAGGUCGCGAGUUCGAGCCUCGUCGUUCCCGCCA